rnacentral:rRNA from 1 species
CCGGCGCACGGGUGAGUAACACGUAUCCAACCCGCCGUCUACUCUUGGACAGCCUUCUGAAAGGAAGAUUAAUACAAGAUGGCAUCAUGAGUCCGCAUGUUCACAUGAUUAAAGGUAUUCCGGUAGACGAUGGGGAUGCGUUCCAUUAGAUAGUAGGCGGGGUAACGGCCCACCUAGUCUUCGAUGGAUAGGGGUUCUGAGAGGAAGGUCCCCCACAUUGGAACUGAGACACGGUCCAA